GAUACUGGGCGUAAGCGCGCGCAGGCGGUUUGUUAAGUGAGAUGUGAAAGCCCCGGGCUCAACCUGGGAACUGCAUCUCAUACUGGCAGGACUAGAGUACGGUAGAGGGGGGUAGAAUUCCA
rnacentral:rRNA from 1 species